rnacentral:rRNA from 1 species
UUGAACGCUGGCGGCAGGCCUAACAUAUGCAAGUCGAGCGGCAGCGCGGGGCAACCUGGCGGCGAGCGGCGAACGGGUGAGUAACGCGUAGGAAUCUACCCAGUAGCGGGGGAUAGCCCGGGGAAACUCGGAUUAAUACCGCAUACGCCCUAAGGGGGAAAGCAGGGGAUCGAAAGACUUUGCACUAUUGGAAGAGCCUGCGUUGGAUUAGCUGGUUGGUAGGGUAAAGGCCUACCAAGGCGACGCUCCGUAACUGGUCUGAGAGGAUGAUCAAUCACACUGGAAAUGAGACACGGGCCAGACGCCUACGGGAGGCAGCAGUGGGGAAUAUUGGACAAUGGGCGAAAGCCUGAUCCAGCCAUGCCGCGUGUGUGAGGAAGUUCUUCGGAUUGUAAAGCACUUUAAGUUGGGAGGAAGGGCAGUAAGCUAAUACCUUGCUGUUUUGACGUUACCGACAGAAUAAGCACCGGCUAACUCUGUGCCAGCCGCCGCUGUAA